CAACAGUUGAUUGGGAAGUUUUCAUGCUUGUAAACUGUUUAAUAAAUGUAACCAAAGCCGUCAAAGAUUGAGGAAAGUUGUACACGUUCGUAAGUACUUGCGUAACUGCUUCGUGAGUCUGGCCCCUGGUUCUUAGCACUUUGGCGAGUCACGAACUUAAUUUUUAUUGUCUGAAAAGCUCUUCUGUUGGCACGUUAAUUAAUGUUUUAUGUUAUGUUUAUUUUUAAGUGAUUUUUAACUUGAAGACUUUAUAGAAGAAUGUUGUGGUAACGUGAACUGGUUGUUAAUUCAUGCAGUUAGUGUUGUAGAUACAAUAAGUGUUGUACAAUGUUGUAAAUAGAGAAAGUAAUUGUAAUUAAUAAUUAAGUAAUAGUAAGUAAUAUGACUUUUCAUGUGUUUGCCAUAGGGACAAUUUCUUGUAUAUUUGUUGUUACCGGAGUUAAGGCUUUUGUUACUUAAUGAAAACAUGAAUAGAAGUUGAAAGUAUGUGUGGCACACUUGAACGUGCACUCACACUCACUACAGCAUGGUUACGCUAAUAGUCCCGUAUCUCAUCCUGGAAUGCAGAUGAGAAGUCACAAUAACGUGACUGAAAUAUGUUGACCAGACCACACACUAGAAAGUGAAGAGACGACGACGUUUCGGUCCGUCCUGGACCAUUCUCAAGUCGAUUGUAAAUACAAUGAUGUAAAUACUUCGACGUUGACAUCCUGGAAUGUUAUGAUAUUCAGUAUGAUGUUGACUUUGAUAAUGACAUGCUUUCAAUAUUAUGAGAAAUUUAGCUUUCCCAGUGUACCUGGGAGUUGUAUAAGUACCUCGAUAAAAUAUCCGGUGAAUGUGAUUCCUUUGGUUCAUCUGAUGUCUUUCUGCUCUCGGACUGACAUCCUAAAUGAUACCGUGAAUAUUUAGAAUAAUUUGAAACAUAGAUGGCCCUAUAUAGUCAUCCGGGCUUGGCGCAUUCUUUUGAUUAAUACGUGAAAUUGAAGAAGUCCAUAGAGCUGGUGAGCAGGGGGAUGGAAGGGGUUGGAUAUAGGAAAUCUUGAAGUAAGAUUGAGAGAUAAGGUAGAGAAGAGGAAAUACAAGUUAGUGGCCUUUGGCACUUUGGCUUUGUGGGUGAUUCUGAUGCUGUGAUAAGUUCACCUUUUGUGAAUUAGAAAUAAUGAACUGCAAAUGUUAAAAAAUAUAAUGCAUUAAAACUCUGAAAAUU